AGCCUUCAUCUGGCUUUUAGGGAACUUAGGACACAUGGAAGAAAGCGCUUGGAAGGCUAUUGAAAUAUUUACAAAACAAAUCAUUUACGUUUAACUUUUGUAUAUGUAAAACCCGGAGAGCUGCCUACAAAGACAGAGGCAACUUUAGUUAUGAGAUAUUUUGGCAUCAAAAUGGUUAAUAGUAUUAUAGCUUCAAAAGAGCCUAUUGGCUCACCCUCAAGGAUGCCCUGCAGUUGUUGUUAAAGUCAUCACAUGAAGCUAGCCUGCUCAGCUAGCCUUUAGAUUUGUCUGCUAACAGUAAAAAUACUAUAAUAAAUCGGUAACAUAUGUUGCCAGGCAAGGAAAAGUGAUAUAAAUAAAGAGACCAGGAGACCCAAACCAAGUACAAUGUGAAAAGAAUUUAACUUUCAAUCUCUGCGUUGGUUAAUUACCAUUUGAAAAGUCAUUUGAAAGUGUUACUCUUAUUUGCUUAUAUUCUUCCUCAUUUUUUUUUUUUUUUCUCUUCAGAUUGCAUUCUUACCCAAAUACUCUUCGUGAUGGCCUGCUUUGCGGCUUUGGGGGAUCAAGAGUGUGUGAAAGUGUGCAUUGCAAAGGAGUCUCCCAUCAGGAAAGCCACCUCUGGAAUGGAAAUGACAAAGCUUGGAACACACACAAUCAAUUAUUUUCACUAGCAUUUAAAAUAUAGAAAACAAAAUCUGCUUUGGGAAUUGACUGAAUAUUUUAUUUAGCCUUUUUAUUGAGACAUCCUUUGAAAAAUGGCAUAAUAUAAAUAGUUUUACAAAGCAACAAUAUAAUCAAUCUCUAAACUAGAAUAUAAAUCAAGGAUUUCAUUAACUGCUGGUAGCCAGUUUAAAUUGUAGGCUUGUCCAUAAUGUCUAUCUAUCUAUGUACGUCCAAGUUAUAUUAAAAACCUUUAAAUGGCUUUGUAAUAUCAGCUACAUCAAGCUAUUAUAAUAAUUAAUGGUACUGUUUUAUAAAUCAAUACGUGUAUUCUUGAUAAAUUCAUAUCCAGUUAAUGGUGUAAUUUAAAUAAAAAAUUAAUGUAAUAAAGGACUUACAGAAACGGGCAGGAAAUCUUUAAAGGUUAAGAGACAAAUUUGUCUAAAUUCAUUUUUAACCUGUUUUGAAAAAGUUUAUAUUUAAAAAUUAGCUGAGAUUUACCUUGUUUCUGGGAAACUAAUCUUGCCAUGUCUAUUGAUAUCUAGUAUCGAAUUUGUAAGAUAUUUUCUUUUUUUAACAACUAAGUUUUAAUUACAUACUUAUGAUACUGUGGGAGGUUUUACUACUAUUGUACUCUUUUGCAAUAAUUGAAUAUUCUUUAGAAAAACAGAAUACAAAAAAACUGAAAAACCUCAAACCAGUGAUCUAUUUUCAAUAUAUGAAUGAAAUUUAAAUGCUUUAUUUUUAAAAAAAUAUGUAUCACGGAAUGAACUAUGUUUAAAAUCUC
rnacentral:lncRNA from 1 species